UUCGCCUCCGCCUAAUUCGUCCUUCGAUCGAGCUUACCCUGUAACUUCACCUAAUGAAUACUCUCUGUUUUUUGCUAAUUGUGCACCUGAAUCGAAGGUGUCUAUGGAUGUACGAACUGAGCUUUAUAAUGUCGAUGACCGUGUUAAAGAUUAUCUCUCUGCAGGUUUUAUUCGAUUACCUACUUUGUAUUUUGUUCUGAUAUAUUACCCAAUUUGUAUUUUUUUACGUUUUGUUUGUGUUAUUUUGUGUUUCUCGAUGGCCGUGUUAAAGAUUAUCUCUCUGCAGGUUUUAUUCGAUUACCUACUUUGUAUUUUGUUCUGAUAUAUUACCCAAUUUGUAUUUUUUUUGUUUUGUUUGGGUUAUUUUGUGUUUUUGGAUAUAUAGAUGUAUGUGUGUUUGAAGAAUAGGAAUCUGUGCAUUUGAUCAAGUGAAUUUCCAUCAUAUGGCUGGAAAAUAUGACAGUGAAAGUGUUUUUUCAUAAAUUAUGACGGUGGUGUCGGGGUCAUGUUGGGCACCUGGUACCUGCUGCCUCGCAGUCACCAACACAGGUACCGAUUAACUGUGACGGCAGAAAUCAUCUUGAUGGAAGGGUUCUUCUGGUUUGAUAUGGGGAAAAAAUUUUCCGGUAAAAUAUUUUCCUUUGUGAAAUCAUUUGUUUUAGCUUGAGUUGUGAGAGCAAAGUCGUUUUCUUGAUGAAGUUAUUUUUUCGAGUUUUUGGUUACCUUGAAUUGGGAAA
rnacentral:lncRNA from 1 species